AAAGCAAAAGUGAAGACUUUCAGUUUGACUUCUCGCCGGCGAACACAAUGGAGGGAGAUCAAAAGGUGAAUUCCACUUCUCCGGCGCCGGAGCCGGCGAUGAUGAUCGAAGAAUGGAACGGAACUUCGUCGACAAAACUCACGAAGACGGCCACCAUAACUUCCACUUCUCAUUCUUCGAUCUCUAUCCAAAGAUCCAGUAACGCAUUUACUCAUAUCUCUCAAAGAAUUCUCCAAGCUUUCGUUCCCGAGGGGUAUCCAACUAGUGUUACUCCAGAUUAUUUUCCUUUUCAAGUGUGGGAUUCAUUGCAGGGGCUUUCUACGUAUGUGCGGAUGAUGCUCUCUACACAAGCUCUUCUAAGUGCUAUAGGUGUUGGUGAGAAAUCGGCUACUGUUAUUGGGGCAACGUUUCAGUGGUUCUUGCGAGAUUUAACUGGAAUGCUUGGAGGUGUCUUGUUCACUUGUUACCAGGGUUCUAAUUUAGACAGCAAUGCCAAAAUGUGGCGUUUGGUGGCAGAUCUCAUGAAUGAUCUCGGAAUGUUGAUGGAUCUUGUAUCUCCUUUAUUUCCAUCAGCCUUUGUGUUCAUCGUCUGCAUAGGGAGUCUAUCAAGGUCAUUCACUGGUGUUGCUAGUGGAGCCACUAGAGCAGCUUUGACGCAGCACUUUGCCCUUGAAAACAAUGCAGCAGAUAUAGCUGCAAAGGAAGGAAGCCAAGAAACUCUAGCUACGAUGAUUGGGAUGGCUUUAGGAAUGCUUCUUGCACGCCUUACAAUUGGCCACUCGUUUGCCAUUUGGAUAUCCUUUUUGUCUCUUACUAUGUUCCAUAUGUAUGCAAACUACAAGGCUGUCUGUUGUCUUUCGCUGAAUACUCUGAACUGUGAAAGAUGCUCCAUUGUUUUAUCACAUUUCGUCAAGACAGGUCAAGUUCUCUCUCCAAAGCAGGUCUCUUCCAUGGAGCACGUUCUACCUUUAUGGAUGACCUCAUGGAACUUAAAGGGUGGUGAUUCUCUAUACAAGCAAGUACGUUUAGGUGUCAGAGUUUCUUCACUUGACAGCCUUGCUAUGGUUGACCUAUUACAAUCUGCUGGAUCACAUUACAAGAAAGAGAAAUAUUUACUUCAACAAAAAGGGGAUAUUAUCAGGAUUAUUACUCAUAAAGAUUCAGCAGGAGCUGAUAUAUUACAAUCAUUCAUCCAUGCUCUUGUCAUGGCAAAACUAGAUGAUCAAGAUGGAUCCAUGUCUUCGGAAAGCCAAUCAUGGAUGGAUAAGCAUUAUGAAGUCUUUGUUCUGAAGUGAAGUUGGCAAAUGGUGGGAGGUAUCCCGUGGAAUUAGUCGAGGUGCACACAAGUUGACCUGGACCACUCUUUAUCAAAAAGAAAAAAAAUGUGAAAGCUGGCGAAUGGUGUAGAAGAGGAGAAGUGCAAAUGCCGAUAAGAAGUCAACCCACAUUUUUUUGUGAUAGUGAUGUUUUGGGCCAGCUUAUGCACAACUCGUCUUCUCCUCAGAGUACCUAUUACCUCUCACCAGCACAGCUUCAGUCAUCAGGAUGGAAGACUGAACGUCUACUAUCAUCAUCAGUCGUUUGGAGAGCAAAUUGGCUGGUAGAUUAUUCAGAUGGCAAACAUGACUAGUCUACUUCAAUACAAACUAAAAGUCAUCUAGUUACAGUCAGAUGCUUUCAAAUUACGACUUGGGGUGAUUUCAAGUCAUCAUUCAGUAUGUCUUGGAUCUUCCAAUGAUCAUUGAGAAGGUAAAAGUUUAGCCCAGCUUAUACAUGUUGUGUUCAAAGGAAUAGCAUUCGAUGGAUAGUUUCUAUGAUCUUGCAGAAACUCUUGUUUUAUUGGAAUUUUAAGUAGGUCCAGGAUAAUCUUGAAAUCAAAGUUGUAAUUUUUUGGCCUUUAAUAUAUGUUAUGUAGGUCAAACUCCAAGUAGGGCUUGAUGCCUGUAUAGCUUUGUCUUUGUUAGAAGGGAAAAAUCUAGAGAUGUUUGGUACUUUUGAAUGCUCCCUUGGGACAAGUGAUGUACACUAGGGUUGUACAAGUAUUUUAUCACCUAUUGUCACAACUCGACUUGUACAAUGAUAUUUAUGUUGUACUAUUCAAGUGGUAUCCUCCCGGUGUAAAAGGGAGUCAUGGAGCAACCGUAAAGUUGUUUUCAUGUGACUUUAUAGAUCA